rnacentral:misc_RNA from 1 species
CGGAGGAAAGUGUGCGCUGACAUGCCCACGUGGAAUUUCAUCUGCUGAAGUGUAUGACCCGGCUCUUGAUGAGUGGAAAGCACUGCCCAAUAUGAGUACUUUGAGAUACAAAUGUGUUGGGGUGACAUGGCAAGGGAAAAUCCAUGUGGUGGGAGGUUUUGCUGAGAGAGGCAACUCCAAUGCAGAAGGGCCUUGGCACAUAUUGGAACGGUGUUCUGCUGAGGUGUAUGAUUCAGAGCAUGAUAGGUGGAAUCUGAUGUUGGGGAUGUGGCAAUUAGAUGUGCCACCUAAUCAAAUAGUAGCUAUGAGUGGCAAUUUGUUCAGCUCUGG